UGCAAGUCGAACGGAAAGGCCCUGCUUUUGUGGGGUGCUCGAGUGGCGAACGGGUGAGUAACACGUGAGUAACCUGCCCUUGACUUUGGGAUAACUUCAGGAAACUGGGGCUAAUACCGGAUAGGAGCUCCUGUUGCAUGGUGGGGGUUGGAAAGUUUCGGCGGUUGGGGAUGGACUCGCGGCUUAUCAGCUUGUUGGUGGGGUAGUGGCUUACCAAGGCUUUGACGGGUAGCCGGCCUGAGAGGGUGACCGGCCACAUUGGGACUGAGAUACGGCCCAGACUCCUACGGGAGGCAGCAGUGGGGAAUAUUGCACAAUGGGCGGAAGCCUGAUGCAGCAACGCCGCGUGCGGGAUGACGGCCUUCGGGUUGUAAACCGCUUUCGCCUGUGACGAAGCGUGAGUGACGGUAAUGGGUAAAGAAGCACCGGCUAACUACGUGCCAGCAGCCGCGGUGAUACGUAGGGUGCGAGCGUUGUCCGGAUUUAUUGGGCGUAAAGGGCUCGUAGGUGGUUGAUCGCGUCGGAAGUGUAAUCUUGGGGCUUAACCCUGAGCGUGCUUUCGAUACGGGUUGACUUGAGGAAGGUAGGGGAGAAUGGAAUUCCUGGUGGAGCGGUGGAAUGCGCAGAUAUCAGGAGGAACACCAGUGGCGAAGGCGGUUCUCUGGGCCUUUCCUGACGCUGAGGAGCGAAAGCGUGGGGAGCGAACAGGCUUAGAUACCCUGGUAGUCCACGCUGUAAACGGUGGGUACUAGGUGUGGGGUCCAUUCCACGGGUUCCGUGCCGUAGCUAACGCUUUAAGUACCCCGCCUGGGGAGUACGGCCGCAAGGCUAAAACUCAAAGGAAUUGACGGGGCCCCGCACAAGCGGCGGAGCAUGCGGAUUAAUUCGAUGCGACGCGUAGAACCUUACCUGGGUUUGACAUGGAUCGGGGAGUGCUCA
rnacentral:rRNA from 1 species